rnacentral:rRNA from 1 species
UACGGAGGGAGCUAGCGUUGUUCGGAAUUACUGGGCGUAAAGCGCACGUAGGCGGCUUUGUAAGUUAGAGGUGAAAGCCCGGGGCUCAACCCCGGAAUUGCCUUUGAUACUGGAGAGCUUGAGUCCGGGAGAGGUGAGUGGAACUGCGAGUGUAGAGGUGAAAUUCGUAGAUAUUCGCAAGAACACCAGUGGCGAAGGCGGCUCACUGGCCCGAUACUGACGCUGAGGCACGAAAGCGUGGGGAGCAAACAGG